rnacentral:misc_RNA from 1 species
AAAUAGAGAAAUCUUCUCUAAACACCCUCGCGAUCGUGACCUGAACGUUGCCUCGGCGGGUGGUCGCCCCUAGGGAACCCCCCGAAGGGUGGCCGCUGAGCCCGCCGGUGGAGCCGAAACUAUAGCACACAGAAGCUCUGAGGAUACCUAAAUGAGUCA